rnacentral:lncRNA from 1 species
CAGGAUAGCGCCCUCUUACCUGCAGCCCACGAUGUUACUAAAUAAAAUGAGAUUUAAUUCUGCUCCCUUAGCCUUAUUCCUUUUGAAUUUCCUGUAAGGGCCACAUUCACAAAUUUCCACCUCCCCUCCCUGGGCGUCCCCUUCCCCACAGAGGUGAGCUGGGGUGAGAAGCACAGAAGCUGUUGGGAAGGCGAAGGCCAGCGGAAGAGAACUCGUGCGGGACUUUUCAAUUUUUCAUCUUGUUUCUAACUCCAUCUAGCCCGUCCUCCUUAAUCAAUAAAACAAGAAUUAGGUCUCAGAUCCAAGAGUCGCUUUCUGUCUUCCAGUUUAUGACUUUGGCCACCUCGCAGUCUUUUAGGGUCGCCGGACCGGCUUCCUGGAAUACCUGAGGUCGCAGAUUCAGGUAGUAAACAGAUGUGGGGUCCACCCUCCGCCAAAUGGGCGGGGCAAGUUCAACAUCCCGCCUCCCCGACCUUAAGUGCGCAGGGCGCCUGGUGCUCGCUUGCCGAAAACGUUAAACAUUUUUCUUUGAUCCCGCUCUUUUUUUGGGGGGAAAAAUGUCUGGGGAAGAGGGAAGUAGUGGGGGAGUGAGGUGCCUGCCCAAGCGAAAUUUUGAUGCCCGCCUGCCUCUGGCUCCAGCUCCGCCCUCACGGAAGGGGGAGAACUUCGAAUUCCAGAACCGGAAUCCUUGCCUAAUUUUUUUUUUUUUUUUUUUUUGAAAUUGAUCGAUUUUAUCCGGGAGCUUCAAAUCGAAACCAGGAGAGAGGCUUUGAAAUGUCAAAGAAAAGCUACGAAAGAAAAAAGGGGUGGGGUGAGGAG